AAAAUGGCAGAGCUCACAGGUCAUACCUGGAGAGUCCUAUCUAUGACCCAGAGUCCCGAUGGUUGCACGGUUGCUUCAGUGGCAGGAGAUGAAACGCUCAGGCUCUGGAAUGUUUUCGGGGAUCCAAAGGCAAUUACAAAAGCUGCUGCUAAACCCAAUCCCAAGCCUUUUUCCCAUGUGAGGCAUCAUAUACGGUGAAGACGAGAGUUAGAUUUGUACAGAUACGUACACCUCCUGGUAUUCAGGUACAGAUAGAUGAUGCAUGGAGGUUUGUGUAUAUUUUCACUGGAAGCUCGGGUGUGCUUUGACUCUUCACUUUUAUAUCCAAAUGUAACAGAGAAUGUGCUAUAGCCCAUAGCUAUAUGAUGACAACUAUGUUAUAAC